rnacentral:rRNA from 1 species
GGCAGCGGGGUAGGAAGCUUGCUUUCUGCCGCCGGCGACCGGCGCACGGGUGAGUAACACGUAUGCAACCUGGCCGUGACAGAUGGAUAACCGGGAGAAAUCCCGCCUAAUACAACAUAAUGCCGGGAGGGGACAUCCCCUGCCGGCCAAAGGGGGCGACCCCGGUCACGGAUGGGCAUGCGGCGCAUUAGGUAGUUGGUGGGGCAACGGCCCACCAAGCCGACGAUGCGUAGGGGUUCUGAGAGGAAGGUCCCCCACAUUGGAACUGAGACACGGUCCAAACUCCUACGGGAGGCAGCAGUGAGGAAUAUUGGUCAAUGGCCGGAAGGCUGAACCAGCCAAGUCGCGUGAGGGAAUAAGGCCCUACGGGUCGUAAACCUCUUUUGCCAGGGAGCAAUGCCGUCCACGUGUGGACGGAAGGAGAGUACCUGGAGAAAAAGCAUCGGCUAACUCCGUGCCAGCAGCCGCGGUAAUACGGAGGAUGCGAGCGUUAUCCGGAUUUAUUGGGUUUAAAGGGUGCGUAGGCGGUCCGUUAAGUCAGCGGUAAAAUUGCGGGGCUCAACCCCGUCGAGCCGUUGAAACUGGCAGACUUGAGUUGGCGAGAAGUACGCGGAAUGCGCGGUGUAGCGGUGAAAUGCAUAGAUAUCGCGCAGAACUCCGAUUGCGAAGGCAGCGUACCGGCGCCAGACUGACGCUGAGGCACGAAAGCGUGGGGAUCGAACAGGAUUAGAUACCCUGGUAGUCCACGCAGUAAACGAUGAAUGCUGGUUGUCCGGGUC